rnacentral:lncRNA from 1 species
AAUUUUUUUUUUUGCAGGGGGAAUAUACCGCGGUUCCCCUCAGAACCGCGGUAUAUUCCCCUGAAAUUUUUUUUCAGAACUGCUUUUCCUAAAUUUUUUUUUUCCGGGAGAAUAUACCGCGGUCCCCCUCAGAACCGCGGUAUAUUCCCCUGAAUUUUUUUUUCAGACCUGCUUUUGGGGAAUGUCAGAAUUUUGCAGAGGGAAUAGGCCGCGAUUCCUCGUAG